GUAAAGUUUUCACUUUCGAGUACAUUUAGUAGCCCACUACAUUUAAUCGACGUAUCUCGAAGUGCAGAGCAUUUAUUUGACCAUUUUAUAGAUCAAACAUUCCAAAAUGAACAAUCACAAAAAUGUCAGGCUCAGGAGUGGGCACAAUCAGACUUUGGUGUUAAUGCUACACAUGUACUGCUUCGAGAAGUGAUGCCACGGCUGCUGACUUUUUACGAAUAAAAGGCUCAGUGCAGAAUGAAGAAUGAACAGCAGUUGCCUCCACGGAUUUGUUUGACUCUCCUGACAUUUGGACGAUCGUGCAGAAGCAAAGGGCAAACAAAAUUGUUUCUUCACUGUCGGACUACAGAAGAGAUCACGUAGAUGAGCCAAGAUUGGAGACCAGAAGUAGAUGAAGACCACGUAGACCAAGACCUCCACUCUCGUCUCGCAGUUGACUUUUUCUUUCUUCAAGGUUCAUUGAUCACGUGUCUUGAUGCAGCGAAACCUCGUGACAUUACUUCUCGCUGACCACCGGCACCUGUUUGGUUUCACUGCUGGAAAGACAGCGACCCACUGUGGAUCAAGAGUGAACUGGGGCCAAACCCAGCCAACUUGCGCAAGACGUGAGGUAAAUCCUGGACUAGUCACCAGUCUGUCGCAAAGCGCAUUUAGAUAACACUUCACAUUCUCACCUAUGACUCUGAAAUGAUUGCAAGAUGCAUGUUUUUGGAAUGUGGAAGGAAGCCAUAGUACCCAAAGUAAACACUCACAAGCAUGAGGAGAAAUGGCAAAAUCCACACGGGAAGAUGUGAGCCAAGAUUUGGACUACGAAACCAUUCAAGUUAAAUUGUUUACCACAAAUUUG